AGUGAACGCUGGCGGCAGGCCUAACACAUGCAAGUCGAGCGGCAGCGCGGGGGCAACCCUGGCGGCGAGCGGCGGACGGGUGAGGAAUUCGUCGGAAUCUGCCUUUUUGUGGGGGAUAACGUAGGGAAACUUACGCUAAUACCGCAUACGUCCUACGGGAGAAAGUGGGGGACCGCAAGGCCUCACGCAGAAAGAUGAGCCGACGACCGAUUAGCUAGUUGGUGGGGUAAAGGCCCACCAAGGCGACGAUCGGUAGCUGGUCUGAGAGGAUGAUCAGCCACACGGGGAAUGAGAAACGGCCCAGACUCCUUAGGGAGGCCGCAGUUGGGAAUAUUGGACAAUGGGGGGAAGCCUGGUCCAGCCAUGCCGGGUGUGUUAAAGAGGCCCUUGGGUUGUAAAGCACUUUUGUCCGGAAAGAAAUCCCUGGAGCUAAUACCUUCGGGGGAUGACGGUACCGGAAGAAUAAGCACCGGCUAACUUCGUG
rnacentral:rRNA from 1 species